AACUAGGGAUUAGAUACCCUAUUAUUAAAAAUUUAAUUUAUAAUACUAAAAUAGUAAAUAAAAAAUAUUGAAACUUAAAUAAUAUGGCGGUAUUUUAGUUCAUUUAGAGGAAUCUGUUUAAUAAUUGAUAAUCCACGAAUAAAUUUACUUAAUUUAUAAUUUUGUAUAUCAUUGUUAGAAAAAUAUUUUUUAGUAAAAAUAAUAUUUAAAAUUUUUAAUAAAAAUUAAUUCAAAUCAAGAUGCAGAAUAUAAUUAAGAAUAUGAUGGAUUACAAUAAAUAUAUUUAAAUGAAUAAUUUUAUUGAAAAAAAAAAUUGAAAGUGGAUUUAAAUGUAAUUUUAAUUAGUUUAUAAAAGAUCAAA
rnacentral:rRNA from 1 species